GCGCAAUGGACGAAAGUCUGACGCAGCAACGCCGCGUGAGGGAUGACGGCCUUCGGGUUGUAAACCUCUUUCUUAGGGACGAUUAUGACGGUACCUAAGGAAUAAGCCACGGCUAACUACGUGCCAGCAGCCGCGGUAAUACGUAGGUGGCAAGCGUUGUCCGGAUUUACUGGGCGUAAAGAGCGCGCAGGCGGUCGAGUAAGUCGAAUGUGAAAGCCCCCGGCUUAACUGGGGAGGGUCAUUCGAUACUGUUCGACUUGAAGGCAGGAGAGGGCAGCAGAAUUCCCGGUGUAGUGGUGAAAUGCGUAGAUAUCGGGAGGAAUACCAGUGGCGAAGGCGGCUGCCUGGCCUGUUCUUGACGCUGAGGCGCGAAAGCUGGGGGAGCAAACGGGAUUAGAUACCCCGGUAGUCCCAGCCGUAAACGAUGGACACUAGGUGUUGGUGGUAUCAACCCCGCCAGUGCCGUAGCUAACGCAUUAAGUGUCCCGCCUGGGGAGUACGGCCGCAAGGCUA
rnacentral:rRNA from 1 species